CCUAGGGGAGGCAGCAGUGGGGAAUAUUGGACAAUGGGCGAAAGCCUGAUCCAGCCAUGCCGCGUGUGUGAAGAAGGCCUUCGGGUUGUAAAGCACUUUCAGUGGGGAAGAAAGCCUUGGGGCUAAUACCCUCGAGGAAGGACAUCACCCACAGAAGAAGCACCGGCUAACUCCGUGCCAGCAGCCGCGGUAAUACGGAGGGUGCGAGCGUUAAUCGGAAUUACUGGGCGUAAAGCGCGCGUAGGCGGUCUGAUAAGCCGGUUGUGAAAGCCCCGGGCUCAACCUGGGAACGGCAUCCGGAACUGUCAGGCUAGAGUGCAGGAGAGGAAGGUAGAAUUCCCGGUGUAGCGGUGAAAUGCGUAGAGAUCGGGAGGAAUACCAGUGGCGAAGGCGGCCUUCUGGACUGACACUGACGCUGAGGUGCGAAAGCGUGGGUAGCAAACAGGAUUAGAUACCCUGGUAGUC
rnacentral:rRNA from 1 species